rnacentral:rRNA from 1 species
AUACGUAGGUGGCGAGCGUUGUCCGGAAUUACUGGGCGUAAAGGGUGCGUAGGCGGAAUCUUAAGUCAGAUGUGAAAACCUUGGGCUUAACCUGAGAAUUGCAUUUGAAACUGGGGUUCUAGAGUGCAGGAGAGGGAAGCGGAAUUCCUAGUGUAGCGGUGAAAUGCGUAGAUAUUAGGAAGAGCACCAGUGGCGAAGGCGGCUUUCUGGACUGUAACUGACGCUGAUGCACGAAAGCGUGGGGAGCAAACAGGAUUAGAUACCCUGGUAGUCCACGCUGUAAACGAUGAGUGCUAGGUGUGUGGGGCUAAGCCCUCUGUGCCGCAGUAAACGCAAUAAGCACUCCGCCUGGGGAGUACGGUCGCAAGACUAAA